GGGCCGGUGGUCUAGGGGUAUGACGCCUCCCUUGCAAGGAGGAGGCCGUGGGUUCGAGUCCCACCCGGUCCA
rnacentral:tRNA from 2 species